CUGUAUUACACCCUGGGUGGUAGGCUGACAUUCUCUCUGUAUUACACCCUGGGUGGUAGGCUGACAUUCUCUCUGUAUUACACGCUGGGUGAUAGACUGACAUUCUCUCUGUAUUACACCCUGGGUGGUAGGCUGACAUUCUCUCUGUAUUACACGCUGGGUUAUAGGCUGACAUUCUCUCUGUAUUACACCCUGGGUGAUAGACUGACAUUCUCUCUGUAUUACACCCUGGGUGGUAGACUGACAUUCUCUCUGUAUUACACCCUGGGUGGUAGGCUGACAUUCUCUCUGUAUUACACCCUGAGUGAUAGACUGACAUUCUCUCUGUAUUACACCCUGGGUGAUAGACUGACAUUCUCUCUGUAUUACACCCUGGGU